rnacentral:rRNA from 1 species
UACGGAAGGCAGCAGUGGGGAAUAUUGCACAAUGGGCGCAAGCCUGAUGCAGCCAUGCCGCGUGUAUGAAAAAGGCCUUCGGGUUGUAAAGUACUUUCAGUCGUGAGGAAGGUGUUAAGGUUAAUAACCUUAGCAAUUGACGUUAGCGACAGAAGAAGCACCGGCUAACUCCGUGCCAGCAGCCGCGGUAAUACGGAGGGUGCGAGCGUUAAUCGGAAUUACUGGGCGUAAAGGGCACGCAGGCGGUUAAUUAAGUUGGAUGUGAAAUCCCCGGGCUUAACCUGGGAAUGGCAUUCAAGACUGGUUAGCUAGAGUCUUGUAGAGGGGGUAGAAUUCCGAUGUGUAGCGGUGAAAUGCGUAGAGAUGUGGAGGAUACCGGUGGCGAAGGCGGCCCCUGGACAAAGACUGACGCUCAUGUGCGAAAGCGUGGGGAGCAAACAGGGAUUAGAUA